rnacentral:tRNA from 1 species
GGCCCUGUGGUCAAGUGGUUUACGACACCGGCCUUUCAAGCCGGAGAUGGCGGGUUCGAUUCCCCCUGGGGUCA